rnacentral:rRNA from 3 species
GUCUUUUUGAAAUAAUUUAAAGUCUAAUCUGCCCACUGAUAAAAAAUUAAAGGGCUGCAGUAUAAUGACUGUACAAAGGUAGCAUAAUCAAUAGUUUUUUAAUUGAAAACUUGUAUGAAAGAUUUGAUGAAAUAUGGACUGUCUCUAAUUUAUAGAUUGAAUUUUAUUUUUUAGUAAAAAAGCUAAAAUAAAUUUAAAAGACGAGAAGACCCUAUAGAGUUUUAUAUUUAAUUUUAUUUUAAAAUUAUAUAAAAAUUAAUAUUAAAAAUAAAAUUAAAUAUUAUAUUGGGGUGAUAGAAAAAUUAAAUUAACUUUUUUUAAAAAUUAAACAUAAAUAAAUGAUUAUAUGAUCCAUAAAUAAUGAUUAUAAGAAAAAAUUACCUUAGGGAUAACAGCGUAAUAUUUUUUUUUAGUUCAAAUAAAAAAAAAAGUUUGCGACCUCGAUGUUGGAUUAAGAUAAAAUUUAAAUGCAAAAGUUUAAAAAUUUUGAUCUGUUCGAUCAUUAAAAUCUUACA